rnacentral:rRNA from 1 species
CCUACGGGUGGCUGCAGUGGGGAAUAUUGGGCAAUGGGCGCAAGCCUGACGCAGCAACGCCGCGUGAAGGAAGAAGGCCCUCGGGUUGUAAACUUCUUUUAUUCGGGACGAAACAAAUGACGGUACCGAAUGAAUAAGCCACGGCUAACUACGUCCCAGCAGCGGCGGUACUACGUAGGGGGCAAGCGUUAUCCGGUUUUACGGGGUGUAAAGGGCGUGGAGGCGGGGGAGCAAGUCGGAAGGGAACUCCCGGGGCCCAACCGGGGAACUGGGUUUGAAACGGUUCUGCUUGAGUGAGGGAGAGGCAAGCGGAAUUCGUGGUGUAGCGGUGAAAGGGGUAGAUAACAGGAGGAAAAC